CUACCGUUGGAGCUUUUCAGCAUCCCGGAACACGGUGCAAAUCCGUGGCGGUCCCGCCGCUGUAAUCGGGGAUGAGCUGCCGCCGAGGACGAGAGUCCGGUCACUUUCAGGGUCCACCUUGAGGGGAAGGCCGCGGUGGCUCAGACGAUCCGAGAGCCAGAAGACCUGCUGAAAGGAACCCGCCGAC
rnacentral:ncRNA from 2 species